rnacentral:misc_RNA from 1 species
UUUUUUUAUUUUUUUUCUUUUUCUUAUUAUUUUUUAUAUUUGGCUCCAAGAGAAAUUCAAACUACUAUUUGUUCCAACUAAAGUUCCAACCUAGCCAAAGAAUCUUCAAUCAAGAUGGCUCCUUAAACUUGUUGAAUCAGUUUUGUGGCUUGUUUGGUUCACUGUUCAAGUUGAUACUGCAGUUAAUUAGACCAUUAAUUGGUGGGACUUCUCUCACAUGACUACAAAGAUCUACUUACCUUGUGUAGCUUUUGCAAGCUUGACUAAGACUUCAUUCUGCAUUACAGCUCGCUUUUCUAGAUCUUAUGGUGUUUUCUAUAUUGUCCCUCUAAAUGACUGUCAUUUCAAUGUGAGCAAAUUGACCACUAGGCUCCUAUAAAAAGUUAAGGACACUUGAAGAAGUGCAAUAUCAAACAUGAAGUCACUAAGUCACCUGAUGCAACUUCUAGUGAUACAUAUAAAAAUUGGGUUGCUUUACUUUAUACGAAUGAAAAUAAUAGUAGUAGGUCUAAUAAGAGGUGAAGAGUAUAAGUCCUCUUACUUAAUUACUUAAUGUUAUCCUUUUGGAAUAAGUAUUAUCACAUUAAUAAUCAAAUAAAACGCUAUCUUUAUUCAUGCAAAUGAACUUUAU